GGUACUUGGGUGAGGGCCUUGCAUGCUAAUUACACUUCCUCCUCUCUUCACUGUGGAAUAUCAGAGCUAAUUUUGAUUCCAUUAGGAGUCUAGUUACAGGCUGCUGAGCUGAAUUCGCUUUGGGCCAAUGGUGCACCAGCACUGAGACUCCCCUACUACAAGCUGAAAUCAC